rnacentral:rRNA from 1 species
AUUGAACGCUGGCGGCAUGCCUUACACAUGCAAGUCGAACGGUAACAGGUCUUCGGAUGCUGACGAGUGGCGAACGGGUGAGUAAUACAUCGGAACGUGCCUAGUAGUGGGGGAUAACUACUCGAAAGAGUGGCUAAUACCGCAUGAGAUCUACGGAUGAAAGCAGGGGAUCGCAAGACCUUGUGCUACUAGAGCGGCCGAUGGCAGAUAGGUAGUUGGUGGGAUAAAAGCUUACCAAGCCGACGAUCUGUAGCUGGUCUGAGAGGACGAUCAGCCACACUGGGACUGAGACACGGCCCAGACUCCUACGGGAGGCAGCAGUGGGGAAUUUUGGACGAUGGGCGCAAGCCUGAUCCAGCAAUGCCGCGUGCAGGAUGAAGGCCUUCGGGUUGUAAACUGCUUUUGUACGGAACGAAAAGCCCUGGGUUAAUACCCUGGGGUCAUGACGGUACCGUAAGAAUAAGCACCGGCUAACUACGUGCCAGCCGCCGCCGUAAAAC